UGGGGAAUCUUGGACAAUGGGCGCAAGCCUGAUCCAGCCAUGCCGCGUGGAUGAUGAAGGCCUUAGGGUUGUAAAAUCCUUUCGUUGGGGACGAUAAUGACGGUACCCAAAGAAGAAGCUCCGGCUAACUUCGUGCCAGCAGCCGCGGUAAUACAGAGGGUGCGAGCGUUAAUCGGAAUUACUGGGCGUAAAGCGCACGUAGGUGGCGACGUAAGUCGGGUGUGAAAUCCCCGGGCUCAACCUGGGAACCGCAUUCGAGACUGUGUUGCUGGAGUACGGAAGAGGAGGGCGGAAUUCCCGGUGUAGCAGUGAAAUGCGUAGAUAUCGUAAGGAAGACCAGUGGCGAAGGCGAGUCUCUGGACAGUUACUGACGCUGAGGCACGAAGGCCAGGGGAGCAAACGGGAUUAGAUACCCCCGUAGUCCCUGAGCGGGCUGGCAAGGCGCAU
rnacentral:rRNA from 1 species